rnacentral:rRNA from 1 species
GUGGGGAAUAUUGGACAAUGGGCGAAAGCCUGAUCCAGCCAUGCCGCGUGUGUGAAGAAGGUCUUCGGAUUGUAAAGCACUUUAAGCGAGGAGGAGGCUACCGAGAUUAAUACUCUUGGAUAGUGGACGUUACUCGCAGAAUAAGCACCGGCUAACUCUGUGCCAGCAGCCGCGGUAAUACAGAGGGUGCAAGCGUUAAUCGGAUUUACUGGGCGUAAAGCGCGCGUAGGUGGCCAAUUAAGUCAAAUGUGAAAUCCCCGAGCUUAACUUGGGAAUUGCAUUCGAUACUGGUUGGCUAGAGGAUGGGAGAGGAUGGUAGAAUUCCAGGUGUAGCGGUGAAAUGCGUAGAGAUCUGGAGGAAUACCGAUGGCGAAGGCAGCCAUCUGGCCUAAUACUGACACUGAGGUGCGAAAGCAUGGGGAGCAAACAGGAUUAGAUACCCGGGUAGUCC